rnacentral:rRNA from 1 species
ACGUAGGCAGCGAGCGUUGUUCGGAGUUACUGGGCGUAAAGCGUGCGUAGGCGGCCAACUAAGUCAUACGUGAAAUCCCUCGGCUUAACCGGGGAACUGCGUCUGAUACUGGAUGGAUUGAGUUCGGGAGAGGGAUGCGGAAUUCCAGGUGUAGCGGUGAAAUGCGUAGAUAUCUGGAGGAACACCGGUGGCGAAGGCGGCAUCCUGGACCGAUACUGACGCUGAGGAGCGAAAGCCAGGGGAGCAAACGGGA